GAAGAGAUGAAAAUAAUGAAACUGUAUGGUGCAGAAAGUGUUUUUUUCAUUGCAGUUUCUGCUGCUGGGAAAGCGGUAGAUCACUAUGGCUGUACCGUGAAAUGAAGCUUAUGAUAAAUAAAAUACUGCUGCUUGCUUGUCACUGAAUGAAGAUCGUUCAGUGGCUACCAUUGGCCAAUCUCACCAACGGGAUAUAAUAAGAACUGAUGCAGGUUUAUAUCUAUUCGGAACAAAGUUAGUACAGUUUUUAAACCGAUGUUGGAUUUUUCUCCAGAUACAGGCAACCCACUUAACUUUGGAAGUAGUGCGCUGGAUUCGUCUAAAGAUAUGUUAAACAUCCGGAGGAAAAUAAAAUGAUAUGUAAAACAAUUAAUUGUAUUGUAUUUUUAUUGUAAUAUUGGAGUAUAAUGUAUUCUAAAUCCUGUUGUAUUCCUAUUGUAAAACAAUAGAAACAGUAAUUGAAAACAUUUAAAACACAAUGUUUUCUAUUGUUUUGUCGCUCGAAAUCAUCCCAUUGAAGAACCGUAAAAUCAAUUGUUUUGCUCCGAAUUUUGUAUGGAAAAUUUUCGAUUUUUUUAUUGUAAAGAUACAUAACA